rnacentral:rRNA from 1 species
UACGUAGGGUGCAAGCGUUGUCCGGAAUCACUGGGCGUAAAGGGCGUGUAGGCGGGAAGGAAAGUCAGAUGUGAAAUCCCCAGGCUCAACCUGGGAACUGCAUUUGAAACUCCCUUUCUUGAGUACCGGAGAGGAAAGUGGAAUUCCUGGUGUAGAGGUGAAAUUCGUAGAUAUCAGGAGGAACACCAGUGGCGAAGGCGGCUUUCUGGACGGUAACUGACGCUGAGACGCGAAAGCGUGGGGAGCAAACAGG